GACACAGGUAACUUACAGUCUAGGCCCAGAUCUACCAAUAGUAACUAUUCAACUUAAAUAUUUUACCCAUCCAGACAUUAACAACAUAAGAGGAUUAUAGUAAACUUUAACCCCUCCAGCCAGCUUUACCUUCCUACAAGUAUCAGAAAUCUGUGCCAACAAGUUAGACUUUAACCCCUAUAAUCUCCUAAACAGUAAAAAAUAGAAGAACUGAAGGAUGUGGUACUUAUAAACAGAAAAUUCAAAGCUUAUUCCCACUAGAAUCUUCUA
rnacentral:lncRNA from 1 species